CCUGGCUCAGGAUGAACGCUAGCGACAGGCCUAACACAUGCAAGUCGAGGGGCAACAGGUAUCAGCUUGCUGAUACGCUGGCGACCGGCGCACGGGUGAGUAACGCGUAUGCAAUCUGCCUGUAACAGGGGGAUAACCCGGAGAAAUCCGGCCUAAUACCCCAUAACGAUACCUAUCCGCAUGAAUAGGUAUCUAAAGGAUUUCCGGUUACAGAUGAGCAUGCGUUCCAUUAGCUAGUUGGCGGGGUAACAGCCCACCAAGGCCACGAUGGAUAGGGGUUCUGAGAGGAAGGUCCCCCACACUGGUACUGAGACACGGACCAGACUCCUACGGGAGGCAGCAGUGAGGAAUAUUGGUCAAUGGGCGGAAGCCUGAACCAGCCAAGUCGCGUGAAGGAGACAGCCCUACGGGUCGUAAACUUCUUUUGUAUGCGAGUAAAAGAGGCCACGCGUGGCCUAUUGCAAGUAACAUACGAAUAAGCAUCGGCUAACUCCGUGCCAGCAGCCGCGGUAAUACGGAGGAUGCGAGCGUUAUCCGGAUUUAUUGGGUUUAAAGGGUGCGUAGGCGGCCCUAUAAGUCAGCGGGAAAAUUUUCGGCUCAACCGAAAAGUGCCGUUGAAACUGUAGAGCUAGAGUACACAAGAGGUAUGCGGAAUGCGUGGUGUAGCGGUGAAAUGCAUAGAUAUCACGCAGAACCCCGAUUGCGAAGGCAGCAUACUGGGGUGAAACAGACGCUGAAGCACGAAAGCGUGGGUAUCGAACAGGAUUAGAUACCCCGGUAGUCCACGCCGUAAACGAUGAAUACUAACUGUUUGCGAUAUACAGUAAGCGGUACAGCGAAAGCGUUAAGUAUUCCACCUGGGGAGUACGCCGGCAACGGUAAAACUCAAAGGAAUUGACGGGGGCCCGCACAAGCGGAGGAACAUGUGGUUUAAUUCGAUGAUACGCGAGGAACCUUACCCGGGCUCAAACGCAUCUGGAAUAAAGGGGAAACCCUUUAGCUAGCAAUAGUCAGAUGCGAGGUGCUGCAUGGUUGUCGUCAGCUCGUGCCGUGAGGUGUCGGCUUAAGUGCCAUAACGAGCGCAACCCUUAUCGAUAGUUACUACCAGGUCAAGCUGAGGACUCAAUCGAGACUGCCAGCGUAAGCUGCGAGGAAGGUGGGGAUGACGUCAAAUCAGCACGGCCCUUACGUCCGGGGCGACACACGUGUUACAAUGGCAGGGACAACGAGUAGCCAAGCAGCAAUGCCGCGCCAAUCUCCAAACCCUGUCCCAGUUCGGAUCGGAGUCUGCAACUCGACUCCGUGAAGCUGGAUUCGCUAGUAAUCGCGCAUCAGCCAUGGCGCGGUGAAUACGUUCCCGAGCGUUGUACACACCGCCCG
rnacentral:rRNA from 1 species